rnacentral:rRNA from 1 species
AACGAACGCUGGCGGCAUGCCUAACACAUGCAAGUCGAACGAGACCUUCGGGUCUAGUGGCGCACGGGUGCGUAACGCGUGGGAACCUGCCCUUAGGUUCGGAAUAACUCCCCGAAAGGGGUGCUAAUACCGGAUAAUGUCUUCGGACCAAAGAUUUAUCGCCUUUGGAUGGGCCCGCGUUGGAUUAGCUAGUUGGUAGGGUAAAAGCCUACCAAGGCGACGAUCCAUAGCUGGUCUGAGAGGAUGAGCAGCCACACUGGGACUGAGACACGGCCCAGACUCCUACGGGAGGCAGCAGUGGGGAAUAUUGGACAAUGGGCGAAAGCCUGAUCCAGCAAUGACGCGUGAGUGAUGAAGGCCUUAGGGUUGUAAAGCUCUUUUAACCGGGAUGAUAAUGACAGUACCGGGAGAAUAAGCUCCGGCUAACUCCGUG